ACCUGAUGAUGUGGGCAUUUACGAACCAAGUCCUUAAAAUGCUCCCAAGUCUCGAAAAAGAGUACCCCAUCCAUUUGUGAGAAACUCAUGAUGGCUUUCCAAGGU